GUAGGGAAUCUUGCGCAAUGGGCGAAAGCCUGACGCAGCCAUGCCGCGUGAAUGAUGAAGGUCUUAGGAUUGUAAAAUUCUUUCACCGGGGACGAUAAUGACGGUACCCGGAGAAGAAGCCCCGGCUAACUUCGUGCCAGCAGCCGCGGUAAUACGAAGGGGGCUAGCGUUGCUCGGAAUUACUGGGCGUAAAGGGAGCGUAGGCGGAUAGUUUAGUUAGAGGUGAAAGCCCAGGGCUCAACCUUGGAAUUGCCUUUGAUACUGGCUAUCUUGAGUAUGGAAGAGGUAUGUGGAACUCCGAGUGUAGAGGUGAAAUUCGUAGAUAUUCGGAAGAACACCAGUGGCGAAGGCGACAUACUGGUCCAUUACUGACGCUGAGGCUCGAAAGCGUGGGGAGCAAACAGGAUUAGAAACCCGAGUAGUCC
rnacentral:rRNA from 1 species